AGGGGGGGCCGGGGGGGCCAGUGCCCCCCCAGCCAUCUGAUUGGCCCCCCCAGCGGCCCCCCCAAAUGAUCGACAUGUCACGACACCCAGUCAUUCCUUCACAGUAGGUAGCACUAUGUACCACAAUGGGUUGUGACACUUGUGACUGUUGUGACUGCUCAAAAGCAGCAGGGGGCGAUAUGCACCAUUUACGUUUAUUGUGAUACACCAUUUGGACACAACAGAGUUGACCCAACAGAAGAAGAGAAGGAGAACCGCGAAGAGACGAUAGAGAAAUAUUGUACAGCUAAGAGGAAUACAGUCGAUUUGACUCCAAGACGGAUAAUCUGACUUCAAAGUUCCAUCAAAGGAGGAGUCUGAAAACACAGAAAGCUCUGCGCCUGACCAGGAUGAUGAUGAGCCAGAAGGGGCAAUUGCAGGAGAUACCACUGAUCUCUUCUCAGCAGUGUCCAGCACUCCUUUUGCUUUUCCAAAAGGACCCAGUGAUAUUUCAAAGUCAAAAGAACAGGGCCCUGUUCAGCCAAGUUUGACAAACUUCCCCAGAACUCAGCAUGGAACAAGAAAGAGAACUUUUCACAGCUCCUGGUACAAAGACUAUUCUUGGUUAGAAUAUUCUGUUAUUAAAGACUCCUCCUACUGCUUUGCCUGUAGGCAUUUUUCUUUGCCUAAUGCACCAGAUAGUGUCUUUGCUUCGCAUUCCGGCUUCAGUAAUUGGAAAAAGGCAUUGUCCAAGGAGUCUGGAUUUAAGCUUCACUCAAAGUUAGAGCACCAUGUAAAUGCAAUGUAUGCAUGGAGUCAAUAUAAAAGGGCUAAUGAGGGAAAUACAACCAUGCUAAAUUCUAUAAACACAAACCGGAAAAAAGUGGUGGAAGAAAACCG